AUCUUUGUAGAAAGAAUCAAAUGAGUAGGGAGUAUAGAAGGAGUGUGCUUUGAAGCAGCAUUGAAUCUGAUUUCAGAAAGAAGUUUCCUUGAAAACAGAGAUCUUGCCUAUUCUGUUCAUCAUGAUAUAUCCUCAGCUCCUGGCACAUAGAAGUAGUUCAAUCACUUGUUAUUGCAUGAAUGAAUGAGUGAAUGAAUAACCGCAGAACAUCUUCGAAGAGUCUACUAUUAAUAUAUGCCAGCACUAGGCUAGGUUCUGAAGAUAAAACUCACCCAAGUCCUGCUCCUCCCCUGGAGAAGUUCAUUUUCUAGUGGGUGAAACAGACAAGUGGAUACCGCACAAUUACAAAAUAGCAGCCAAGGAAGCCAUGUCUCAUCUACCAAGGGAAUGCAGUCAACCUGUCCUGAAGAGAAGGAUGCCGGCUAGCAGGUUGAACCUUCGGAAACCAACAGUUAUGCAAAGUCAUUGCCAACAUAAUCACGAGCUGCUGUGUGGAGUCUUAAGUACCUCAUGGAAAAAUAACUCUGAAUUGGAAUUCUUCCCAAAAGUAGACUUCAUUAAUGCUUUGACAACUGAGGUAGGCAAAAAAAAAAAAAAAAGGAAAGGAAUCUAGAAAGCAGUUAUAAACAUGAAUGGCUGUUAAACUUUUCAGCAGGGUGAUUUAGUAAAAAAAAAAUGUAAGAUAUUAGCACAAAUGCUCUUGCAAGAGUACCAUGAC
rnacentral:lncRNA from 1 species